rnacentral:rRNA from 1 species
GACGAACGCUGGCGGCGUGCUUAACACAUGCAAGUCGAACGGAAAGGCCCUGCUUUUGUGGGGUGCUCGAGUGGCGAACGGGUGAGUAACACGUGAGUAACCUGCCCUUGACUUUGGGAUAACUUCAGGAAACUGGGGCUAAUACCGGAUAGGAGCUCCUGCUGCAUGGUGGGGGUUGGAAAGUUUCGGCGGUUGGGGAUGGACUCGCGGCUUAUCAGCUUGUUGGUGGGGUAGUGGCUUACCAAGGCUUUGACGGGUAGCCGGCCUGAGAGGGUGACCGGCCACAUUGGGACUGAGAUACGGCCCAGACUCCUACGGGAGGCAGUAGUGGGGAAUAUUGCACAAUGGGCGGAAGCCUGAUGCAGAAACGCCGCGUGCGGGAUGACGGCCUUCGGGUUGUAAACCGCUUUCGCCUGUGACGAAGCGUGAGUGACGGUAAUGGGUAAAGAAGCACCGGCUAACUACGUG